rnacentral:misc_RNA from 1 species
GCCAAGUGGCAAGUCUGGUGCUGAUAAUAAGGAGAUAGAAACUUUGCCGGUCAGGUCAAGUGAAGCUGGUGAUAGAAAGAUAGAUAAUCCAGUAAAAAUCUUGCUCUCAGUAUAUGACAGUUCUGAUGACGAUGAUGACUGAUUUUGCAAGGAUUUAUCAGUUCAUGAUGUUUAAUUUAGUGUUAGAAUUAAGUAUCAUCAAUCGUGGGUCGAAUCAACAAACAUAUCAUUAGUUGUUCUACUAUGCACAUUUUGAUCAGUGCCCCUGACUUGUUUGCUUUAAACAUGGUUACUGUUGAUUAACUUCAAACGAUUGAGCAGGAAUCUUCAUCUGUGUGCAGUGUGCUGUAAAUUACUGAUUACAUGGAUUGUCGGUGCU